rfam:Medicago truncatula strain A17 chromosome 5, whole genome shotgun sequence.
AUAUAAGCAAAAAUUUAUGUUUUAGAUUCAUUCAAUAAAUGAUGUAUGUGGUCUUUAUUGUAGACAACAUACAUCAUUUAUUGAAUGAAUCUAAAAUAUGAAUUUUUGCUUAUAU